GUGUGAUGCUGUGUAAGGUUCUAAUCUUCAGACCUGCUAGCAUGAGCAGAAACUACGGUGAGCUCAGGCGUGCUAUUCACUUACGGCCGCUCCGUGCCUCUGGGACGGGUGGAAAUAUAUCUCUCUGACCUGCCACCAAUUUGCUGAAGGGGCCGGAAAGUGCUGAUGAACCCCUUCAGACGGAGAAGUGCCGACCUGACCAGAUGAUGGGAAAGAGAGCGAGUGCACGUGGGCUUUGUCUUUCACUCCACUAUUAAAAUGAUGAUGUAUUCUGCGUGUUGGGAUGUGACAGGACAAUGGAGACGCCUCGUUCACCGAGCAGACAGAAGAGAGGAACAGUGUGAAUGAGUGUUGGUUGUAAUGUUUUCCUGCAGGCUGACAGCAGAGGUCCUCUCAACACGCUACAGGUUUCCUUUGUUCCCGCAGACAGAGAUGAAUCUCCCCCCUCCCGGACCCUCAGACCCCCCCCGAACCCGGGGCCCACUGGUGGGGGC